CUGGGAUGAUGUAGCUUAGCCAAAUCAGACACUUUUGAUGUGCUCCUUAAGGCAUUUUGUCUUUGAAGCUUUAUUCUUUAUGGGUAUUCGAGUGGCACAUUAAUGGUUUCUUGUAUACCCUUGUUCAAGCUCUAGAUUGAUUGCCCUUUUGUUGAAGCGCAUCUCUCUGAUGAUUACUUAGAGAUUGGUUUUCGCUUUCUGACCAGA